UUGUCUUCCUGGGGCCCCUGGAGCCCUUGCUCACUAUCCUGCGGUGGUUUGGGGCUCAAAACUCGCUCUAGAGGUUGCACACAGCCCGCCCCGGCCCAUGGAGGGAGAGACUGCCAGGGGCCACGGAGGGAAACGACCUACUGCCAGGCCCCCGACUGUCCAGCUACUGUUGUUCCAACAGAAGAACCAGCCACACCGGAUGAGGACUCUGGGUUCUCUCCCUGGUCACCGUGGAGUCCUUGCACAAAGACCUGCACCGACGCUCUCAGCCCGGCCCUGAAGUCCCGCCAUCGACAGUGUGUGACACCACCCUGUCCUGGAAGCUCUCACCAAGAGA